rnacentral:tRNA from 1 species
UCCCUGGUGGCUCAGUGGUAAAGAAUCUGCCUGCAAAGCAGGAGACUUGGGUUCAAGCCCUGGUUCGGGAA